rnacentral:rRNA from 1 species
AGAGGGGUGCAAGCGUUAAUCGGACUUACUGGGCGUAAAGGGUGCGUAGGCGGGUUAAUUAAGUCAGUUGUGAAAGGGCCAGGGGCUCAACCUUGGAACUGCAAUUGAUACUGGUAGACUAGAGUCGAGUAGAGGGAAGUGGAAUUUCCGGUGUAGCGGUGAAAUGCGUAGAUAUCGGAAGGAACACCCGUGGCGAAGGCGACUUCCUGGACUCAGACUGACGCUGAGGCACGAAAGCGUGGGUAGCGAACAGGAUUAGAUACCCUGGUAGUCCACGCUGUAAACGAUGAGUACUAGCUGUUGGUUUCCAUGAGGAAUCAGUAGCGGAGCAAACGCAUUAAGUACUCCGCCUGGGGAUUACGGCCGCAAGGCUA